GUACGCUGGCGGCACGCCUUAUACAUGCAAGUCGAACGAAGUAGCAAUACUUAGUGGCAGACGGGUGAGUAACAUGUAGGUAUCUACCCUAUGGUGAGGAAUAACACGAGGAAACUUGUGCUAAUACCUCAUAAGUCUUUACGGAGAAAGCUUUAUGCGCCAAAGGAUGAGCCUGCACUUGAUUAGUUUGUUGGUGGGGUAAUGGCCUACCAAGACUUUGAUCUAUAGCUGAUCUGAGAGGAUGAUCAGCCACAUUGGGACUGAGACACGGCCCAAACUCCUACGGGAGGCAGCAGUAGGGAAUAUUGCACAAUGGAGGAAACUCUGAUGCAGCGAUGCCGCGUGAGUGAAGAAGGCCUUUGGGUUGUAAAGCUCUUUCGUCGGGGAAGAAAAUGACUGUACCCGAAUAAGAAGG
rnacentral:rRNA from 1 species